UUUUAAAACAUUAAACCUUGGAUUUCUCCUCCUUGUCCCACAGAUGCCUGCUCUCCAGAUUGAGAGCACUCAGAGCUCAGGAGAGACCCAUUCAUUGCUGCUCUUGGGCCACAAACCUCUCUGUGACAGCAGAGCGUGACAGUGGCACCUGAAGUGCCUCCACUUAAUCCCCAGUGAAGAAGAGCAUCUCCUUGACUCCUGGCCAGGUAUGAGUCACUAUAGACAGUACUGAUCUACACACGCCCAGGGGACACCAGCAACUACCUCGCACACUGACAGCAGGUGCCCACAAUUGUCCUAAAAGGAAAACCUGAGGAUGAGAUUCCAGCUUCUUGAGGGCCCCUUGAGUCCUCAGAGAGGGCAUGGGUCUGCCCCACUGCUAGACAUGCCUUCCACCAGUCCCUUUCUGUUUCCAAGAGCAAAGGACACAUGCAAAUGGGCUUAGAAAACAGCAAACUCCUGUCUCGCUGGGGGAAUCAGCAGUGCUGGCCACCCAGCUGUCCCUCUUCUGUCCUCAGCUUCCUGUCCUCAGCCUCCUGUCUCCCCAGCAUUGUGUCUCCUCCUUCUUCUGCCACAGCUUGUUCCUGGCCCCUGCACAUCUGUGGCACAUGGACUUUCCAAGCUUCUCACUCACAUCCAUGUCUUGGCUGCCCGGGUCUUUCCGAAGGCCAUGUCUCUGGUUCUUGGACCACUCUGUCCUCCAGCUUUGACCCACUGACUGCUCCGGAGUUUUAGAGUUCACCAUGAGCUGCAGUCAGUAGGGGCUGUCCUGGCCCCAGGGUUACACUGUGCUUCUCUCUUUUAUUUCUGCGUAGACCUAGCCCUGCCUCACAUCUCUUCUUCCUCUGUAAUUGUAGGUCUAUUUACCUCUGUGUUAAAUCCUUCCUCCCUCCUGUUUUCCUGGAUUAAGAACAAUUUAGUUUUCUUAUGUACAAAAAACUCAAGAGUACAUUUAGCCCACUUUGGGGCAAGUUCUCUGGCCUUUGCCAUUUCCAACUUGGCAAAGCAAGCCACAGAUGUUGGACCCAGGUCCUCGCCUCUCCACUGACAGCAGAUCUCAUCCUAUCUGUCAUUGGAGUGGUCCUGACAGCUACCAUCAGCUUCACCAGAGCCUUUGCCUUCCGAUCAGACCUGUGUGAAGGCCAUGGUGGUGCGUGCCUUCCUGUGGUCUAGCCUGGCCUUCUCCUCGAUGAUGAAGUACCGGCUCCCGUCUUGCAACGCAGGAUGGGCAGGAGCCAACACAGUGAGACCCACGUCGUGUGCGAUCACCACUAGCUGAGCCUUCUUGUUAUCCGCCAGGGUGGGG
ensembl:lncRNA